rnacentral:misc_RNA from 1 species
AAGUCGUAACAAGGUUUCCGUAGGUGAACCUGCGGAAGGAUCAUUAACACUUUUCCAACCCAUUUUACAAACCCCAUAUGAACGUGUUUUGGAAAUGUAGUGGGUGUUGGACGAGAGAUCUCUCUCGGUCAAUACACACAACACUUCCGCAAUUUUUUUUUCCAAAAACCCCGUUUAAAAAACUCUGACUGAACAAUUUUUGUAUUUAAUUUAAUUUAAAUACAAAUAAAAUAAAAAAAUAUAAUACAACUCUUAGCAACGGAUAUCUUGGCUCUC